rnacentral:tRNA from 1 species
GAGGGUAUAACUCAGUGGUAAAGUGCAUGCCUAGCAUGCACAAGUUCCUGGGUUCAAUCCCCAGUACCUCCA